GGCUCGUUGGUCUAGGGGUAUGAUUCUCGCUUAGGGUGCGAGAGAUCCCGGGUUCGAAUCCCGGACGAGCCC
rnacentral:tRNA from 1 species